ensembl:snoRNA small nucleolar RNA SNORD11B
UAACCGUGGUGAUGAGGACUAUAAAAAAUAUUCCCCUGAAACAAACAAUGUGGGUAUUAAGUCACUAUCUCUUCUGAGCGGCCU